UACGGGGGGAGCAAGCGUUGUUCGGAUUUACUGGGCGUAAAGGGCGCGUAGGCGGCCACUGCAAGUCGGUUGUGAAAUCUCCGGGCUUAACCCGGAAAGGUCAAUCGAUACUGCAGGGCUAGAGUGCGGAAGGGGCAACUGGAAUUCUCGGUGUAGCGGUGAAAUGCGUAGAUAUCGAGAGGAACACCUGCGGCGAAGGCGGGUUGCUGGGCCGACACUGACACUGAUGAGCGAAAGCCAGGGGAGCAAACGGG
rnacentral:rRNA from 1 species